rnacentral:sRNA from 1 species
UGUAUGGAAAAAGAAGGAGCCGCUCCC